rnacentral:lncRNA from 1 species
AGCACAUUUCCUACAGGUUCCUUUUUCUUCCUUCAUACUUGAGUAGAAGAGUGAAUGGAUUGAUGAAUCUGGUACAAAGACAAAUAUGGUCACUUAGGAAAACAAGGACUUCAGACUGUGAAGAAAGUAAAGAGCAACUAACAAAAAGUUAUGAAUCCUCCUGUGAAAGCCAUCAAUUAAGGUAAGUAAAAGAUUCCUAAAUUUUUAUAACCCUCAUUUAUCACUUGCCACUCCUGAUAAUUUUAUCCUGUGUAAAGAUAUCUAAA